rnacentral:rRNA from 1 species
GAUGAACGCUGGCGGCGUGCCUAAUACAUGCCAGUCGAGCGAACAGACGAGGAGCUUGCUCCUCUGACGUUAGCGGCGGACGGGUGAGUAACACGUGGAUAACCUACCUAUAAGACUGGGAUAACUUCGGGAAACCGGAGCUAAUACCGGAUAAUAUAUUGAACCGCAUGGUUCAAUAGUGAAAGACGGUUUUGCUGUCACUUAUAGAUGGAUCCGCGCCGCAUUAGCUAGUUGGUAAGGUAACGGCUUACCAAGGCAACGAUGCGUAGCCGACCUGAGAGGGAGAUCGGCCACACUGGAACUGAGACACGGUCCAGACUCCUACGGGAGGCAGCAGUAGGGAAUCUUCCGCAAUGGGCGAAAGCCUGACGGAGCAACGCCGCGUGAGUGAUGAAGGUCUUCGGAUCGUAAAACUCUGUUAUUAGGGAAGAACAAAUGUGUAAGUAACUAUGCACGUCUUGACGGUACCUAAUCAGAAAGCCACGGCUAACUACGUG